UACGGGGGGGCAAGCGUUGUUCGGAAUUACUGGGCGUAAAGGGCGCGUAGGCGGCCGGUUAAGUCGAACGUGAAAUCCCCGGGCUCAACCCGGGAACUGCGUCCGAUACUGGCAGGCUUGAAUCCGGGAGAGGGAUGCGGAAUUCCAGGUGUAGCGGUGAAAUGCGUAGAUAAUCUGGAGGAACACCGGUGGCGAAGGCGGCAUCCUGGACCGGCAUUGACGCUGAGGCGCGAAAGCCA
rnacentral:rRNA from 1 species